GAUGAACGCUGGCGGUAUGCCUAACACAUGCAAGUCGUACGAGAGUUUUUAACUCUAGUGGCGGACGGGUGAGUAACACGUGAGAAUUUGCCUUUAGGAGGGGGACAACAAUCGGAAACGAAUGCUAAUACCCCAUAUGCUUUCGAGUGAAAUGGAUUUUAUCCGCCUAGAGAGAAGCUCGCGGCUGAUUAGCUUGUUGGUAAGGUAAGAGCUUACCAAGGCGACGAUCAGUAUCUGGUUUGAGAGGACGAUCAGACACACUGGAACUGAGACACGGUCCAGACUCCUACGGGAGGCAGCAGUGGGGAAUUUUGGACAAUGGGGGCAACCCUGAUCCAGCAAUGCCGCGUGAGUGAAGAAGGCCUUCGGGUUGUAAAGCUCUUUUGUCAGGGAAGAAACAGCAGCUCUAACACAGUCUGCGAAUGACGGUACCUGAAGAAUAAGCACCGGCUAACUACGUG
rnacentral:rRNA from 1 species